AUAGCGUAUAUUAAAGUUGUUGCAGUUAAAAAGCUCGUAGUUGAACUUCAGACCUGGCCGGACGGUCUGCCUAACGGUAUGUACUGUCUGGCUGGGCCUUACCUCUUGGUGAGCCGGCAUGCCCUUCACUGGGUGUGUCGGGGAACCAGGACUUUUACCUUGAGAAAAUUAGAGUGUUCAAAGCAGGCUUAUGCUCGAAUACAUUAGCAUGGAAUAAUAAAAUAGGACGUGCGGUUCUAUUUUGUUGGUUUCUAGAGUCGCCGUAAUGAUUAAUAGGGAUAGUUGGGGGCAUUUGUAUUCCGUUGCUAGAGGUGAAAUUCUUGGAUUUACGGAAGACAAACUUCUG
rnacentral:rRNA from 1 species